rnacentral:RNase_P_RNA from 1 species
UGAGUCGGCCGGGUGGCCGCGGCGCACGCGAGUGCGUCGAGGAAAGUCGGGACUCCACAGGGCAGAGUGCUGGUGAGAGCCAGGUGGGGGCGACCUCACGGACAGUGCAACAGAAAACGAACCGCCCGAGGGGCAACCCGAGGGUAAGGGUGAAAAGGUGCGGUAAGGGCGCACCAGCGCGCGGGGCGACUCGCGCGGCUUGGCAAACCCCACUUGGAGCAAGGUCACGCAGAGGACAUGAGCGGCUCGCUCGCCUUCGGGCACUCCUCGGGUAGACCGCAGAGAUGGAUGGUCACCGGACCGCAAGGUCCACAGAAUCCCGCUUACAGGCCGACUCACCGC